GGCCCAACCGAGCCAGCGGGGCCCCGCCGCUGAUUGUCCAAACGCAAUUCUUGUGCGAGUUUGCGGCCAACCGAGAAUUGUGACUGGACAUCUGUGGCUGGGCUCCCGGCGCGACGCGGGCC